rnacentral:hammerhead_ribozyme from 1 species
GUUCAGCUGGCAAGUCCUAAAUAGGACGAAAUGCGCAUCCUGGAU